rnacentral:rRNA from 1 species
AGAGGUGGCGAGCGUUGUUCGGAAUUACUGGGCGUAAAGGGCGCGUAGGCGGUUCGAUAAGUCCCGUGUGAAAUCCCUCGGCUCAACUGAGGAACUGCACGGGAAACUGACGGGCUUGAGUUCGGGAGAGGGAAGCGGAAUUCCGGGUGUAGCGGUGAAAUGCGUAGAUAUCCGGAGGACCACCGGUGGCGAAGGCGGCUUCCUGGACCGACACUGACGCUGAGGCGCGAAAGCUAGGGGAGCAAACGGGAUUAGAUACCCCGGUAGUCCUAGCUGUAAACGAUGAGUGCUGGGUGUAGGGGGUAUCUACCCCCCCUGUGCCGAAGCUAACGCAUUAAGCACUCCGCCUGGGGAGUACGGUCGCAAGGCUG